rnacentral:rRNA from 1 species
UACGUAGGGGGCAAGCGUUGUUCGGAUUUACUGGGUGUAAAGGGAGCGUAGACGGCUGGCCAAGUCUGAAGUGAAAGCCCGGGGCUUAACCCCGGAACUGCUCUGGAAACUGUGAAGCUGGAGUGCAGGAGAGGUAAGCGGAAUUCCUGGUGUAGCGGUGAAAUGCGUAGAUAUCAGGAGGAACACCGGCGGCGAAGGCGGCUUACUGGACUGUAACUGACGUUGAGGCUCGAAAGCGUGGGGAGCAAACAGG